rnacentral:rRNA from 1 species
UAGGGAAUCUUCGGCAAUGGGGGCAACCCUGACCGAGCAACGCCGCGUGAGUGAAGAAGGUUUUCGGAUCGUAAAGCUCUGUUGUAAGUCAAGAACGAGUGUGAGAGUGGAAAGUUCACACUGUGACGGUAGCUUACCAGAAAGGGACGGCUAACUACGUGCCAGCAGCCGCGGUAAUACGUAGGUCCCGAGCGUUGUCCGGAUUUAUUGGGCGUAAAGCGAGCGCAGGCGGUUUGAUAAGUCUGAAGUUAAAGGCUGUGGCUCAACCAUAGUUCGCUUUGGAAACUGUCAAACUUGAGUGCAGAAGGGGAGAGUGGAAUUCCAUGUGUAGCGGUGAAAUGCGUAGAUAUAUGGAGGAACACCGGUGGCGAAAGCGGCUCUCUGGUCUGUAACUGACGCUGAGGCUCGAAAGCGUGGGGAGCGAACAGGAUUAGAUACCCUGGUAGUCCACGCCGUANCGAUGAGUGCUAGGUGUUGGAUCCUUUCCGGGGUUCAGUGCCGCAGCUAACGCAUUAAGCACUCCGCCUGGGGAGUACGACCGCAAGGUUG